rnacentral:rRNA from 1 species
UACGUAGGGUGCAAGCGUUAUCCGGAAUUAUUGGGCGUAAAGAGCUCGUAGGCGGUUUGUCGCGUCUGCUGUGAAAACCCGAGGCUCAACCUCGGGCCUGCAGUGGGUACGGGCAGACUAGAGUGAUGUAGGGGAGACUGGAACUCCUGGUGUAGCGGUGAAAUGCGCAGAUAUCAGGAGGAACACCGAUGGCGAAGGCAGGUCUCUGGGCAUUAACUGACGCUGAGGAGCGAAAGCAUGGGGAGCGAACAGG